GACGAACGCUGGCGGCGUGCUUAACACAUGCGAGUCGAACGGAAAGGCCCUGCUUUUGUGGGGUGCUCGAGUGGCGAACGGGUGAGUAACACGUGAGUAACCUGCCCUUGACUUUGGGAUAACUUCAGGAAACUGGGGCUAAUACCGGAUAGGAGCUCCUGCUGCAUGGUGGGGGUUGGAAAGUUUCGGCGGUUGGGGAUGGACUCGCGGCUUAUCGGCUUGUUGGUGGGGUAGUGGCUUACCAAGGCUUUGACGGGUAGCCGGCCUGGGAGGGUGACCGGCCACAAUGGGACUGAGAGAGGGACCAGACGCCUACGGGAGGCAGCAGUGGGGAAUAUUGCACAAUGGGCGGAAGCCUGAUGCAGCAACGCCGCGUGCGGGAUGACGGCCUUCGGGUGAUAAACCGCUUUCGCCGGUGACGAAGCGUGAGUGACGGUAAUGGGUAAAGAAGCACCGGCUAACUACGUG
rnacentral:rRNA from 1 species